rnacentral:tRNA from 1 species
GCAUUGAUGGUUCAGUGGUAGAAUUCUCACCUUCCAUGUGGGAGCCCUGGAUUUGAAUCCCGGCCAAUGCA